AUGAACUUUUUUAAUGUAGGGUA
rnacentral:snRNA from 1 species